GGAAAAAAAAAAGAAAAAUCCUUAUCUGAAAGACAUGUACUUAAAUAUUUUUGAGUAAAAAUAUAUGAUAUCUGAGACUUGUUUUAAAAUUUAGUUUUAAAAAAGUAGUAGAAUAUAGGUGAAAAAUAGGGAUAGUCCUGAGUUGUUGAGUUAUGGGUACAUGGGUUCAUUGUACUGCUUUUUGUGUAUGUUUGAGGGUAGUAGUAAUAAAAAGUUUAAAAAAUCAUAUCUGUAAUAGCAGAUAUCCAGUUAUGGGCUUCCCUGGUGGCUCAACUGGUAAAGAAUCUGCCUGCAAUGCAGGAGACCCAGGUUUGAUCCCUGAGUUAGGAGCAUCCCCUGGAGAAGGAAAUGGCAAUCCACUCCAGUAUUCUUGCCCGGAGAAUCCCAUGGACCAGAGGAGCCUGGUAGGAUCACCCAUGGGAUUGCAAAGAGACAUGACUGAACUACUAAACACAUAUCCACUUAGUUUCUAUUAAAAACUGUCUCAUAAUUGUACAGGAUCCAAAUAAGGUCUACUUUAUUCAAGUUGGUUGUUAUCCUUAUAGACUUGAGCACUCUCCUGCUCAUUUGUACUUUUUUAUGAAACGUUUAUUACAGUGUUUUCUACUGUUUGGAUUUUGCAAAUUGUAUCACCUUGGUUUAGUUUAGCCUAUUCCUCUAUAUCUCCUAUAGAUUGGAAAUUGACUCCAGAGGCUUGAUCACUUUGGUGUGGGGCGGCGGGUGGGCAAGAUUAUAGGCAGUAAAUGUCUGUUUUUUUCUGUUGGGGGAAUACCAGCAAUCAUUGACCAGUGCCCAGAUCAGCCAGUUUUUAAGAGGUGUCAAAAUGCUGGUACUCUGAUUCUAUCAUCGUUCUUUAUUUAUUAGCUAGAAUACUUGUAUGAAGGAAAAUAUCUCAUCUACUGUUUGCUUAGGGGUAUGGGAAAGGUGGGAGAAAUGCUGGGUUCACCCUCUUUAAUUCUUUUUCACACACAGUUGUCCUGUCUUUUGUCUCAAGUCCUUUGGACACAAUUGCAGUAGUGUUUGAGAGCUUCCUUAGUAUCUAAUAUCUAAUAUAGAGAUCGUAUGGUUUAGAGUUUCUCCGAGGGGCCCUGGUUCCUUUUGUUGGAAAACGAGAUUAUACCCUAGGUGCCAGGGGUGCUCAUUAGUAGAAGGUGGUCUUUCUUUCUAGACCUUUUCAGUGUUCAGAGCUGGCAAGUGUGUGUGUGUGUGUGUGUGUGUGUGUGUGUGUGUGCAUGUGUGUGUGUGUGUGUGUGACUUAGCUUUACUGAGAUAUGAUUUACAUGCAGUAAAUUUAUUUGUUUUAAAUGUACACGUUAUGAGUUCUGACAUGUGUAUAAUAACUACCACCAUGUGACAAUUUAGAACAUUCCAUUACCCCCCAAAAGUCCCCUCAUGCCCUUUUAGGACUUUAGGGUUUUGACUUGAGCUUCUUCUAUCACACAUCUGUAUUUCCCCACCCCCAAGAUCUCCCAAUUCUCAAGAAUACUGAGAGGUAAAAUUAGAAUGUCAUGCCAUACAACUGCUCACCUGCCUUAUCCUAACCACAGCACUCUCAGAAACUGCAACACCAAUAUUCCCACCAUAUGUCUGCCUGAAAAGUUUAAUUUCAUUUUUGUAGUUUGGGGUCCAAUUUUUUAUUUUGGUAUAACUGUAAAAAUGUAAAAAGCUUUAAGAAUUAUUUUUCUAAAGAAAUCUCAGUCCAACCCACAGGUACCUUUAUUUAGGUGCUUUGUCUUCUUGGGGCCUCAGCCUUCACCGGAGGAUUGCAUUCCUGGUCUCAGGUCAGCUGACUGCACUAACUGGCAACGUGGAAUAUCUAAACAGCAGUCGGGGUCCGGUUGUGACGGACCGCGCAGAAGCCUGGCCGUGAGGAGCUACCCCUCGCCCAGGGUCAGGGGUAGCGACCAAGAGUGUCAGGUUGUGACAGCUCAGGAGCGGCGGCCGAGAGGAGCUUCCCCACGCCCGAGGGCAGGGGCUGCAGCCGAGAGGAGCAACCCCAGUUCCAAGGAGCAGCUGCUGCGGGGCGCAGGAGGGCUGAGAGGAACUACUCCAUGUUCAAGGUCAGGAGGGGCGGCCAUGAGAAGAUACCCCUCUGCCAAGGUGAGGAGCAGCGGCUGCACUUUGCUGGAGCAGUCGUGAAGAGAUACCCCACGUCCAAGUUCUUACUCUGUGCCCGGCCCUGUUCCAAACCUUUUACAUUCAUUACCUGAGUUAAUUCUCACAGCAGCUCCAUGAUGUAGGUAAUAUUUCUCCCUGUCCUUCUCUUCUUUCCCCCACCCCCUCAAGUGAGGGAACUGAACCCCAGGAUUUUAUGUAACUUACCCAGAGUCACACAAUUAGCCCUGAGUCUGGAUAUCCUCACCCUCAGCCUCUGUGAUAUACUGAGUUCCUCCAAAUAUUGUUCCGUCACGAAGCUGUGUCCUCCUCUUUGUGACUCCAUGGACUGCAGCGCACCAGGCUUCUCUGUCCUUCAGUAUCUCCCAGAGAUUGCUCAAACUCAUGUCCAUUGAGUCGGUAAUCCAUCCAACCAUCUUAUCCUCUGUCUCCCCCUUCUCCUGCCUUCAAUCUUUCCAGCAGGAGGCUUUUUUCCAGUGAGUCAGUUCUUUGCAUCAAGUGACCAAAGGAUUGGAGCUUUAGCUUCAGCAUCAGUCCUUCCAAUGAAUAUUGAGUUGAUUUCCUUUAGUAUUGACUGUUUUGAUUUCCUUGCUGUCCAAGAGAUUCUCAAGAGUCUUCUCCAGCACCACAAUUCGAAAGCAUCGAUUCUUUGGUGCUCAGCCUUCUUUAGGGUUGGUCAAAAUUUCGUUUGGUGUUUUCUAUAACAUCUUAUAGAAAGAACCCAGAUGAACUUACUGGCCAACUCAAUAAAAAUAUCCACAGAAAGAAGGGGAAAUUAAGCUCAUGAAUGCUGCUUUAUGGCAACAAAACCCUCAGAUUCGUCUGGACCUGUGUGCACAGCAUAGCCCUUCCCACCCUGAAUAUGCAUUCCCGCAGCCAGUGCGGGAUUUAAGUGGAUUUAAGUCCCAGUUCAAGCACUUACCAAGCUGGGGAUGACCCUGUGAAAUUACUUACCCCUAAUUACUAAGCCUCAGUUUCCUUACCUGUAAAAUCAGGUUAAUAAUACCGGCCCCAAGGGUGUUACAGAGUUAGCGUCUAAUUAGCUGAUAACUAUGAUUUUUCUAGUCAGAAGUCCAUUGUUGAGAAUAGUUAAGACUGAGGUUCAGGCAACUCCCCCAGAAGAAGAACAGAGUGGAGCAAUUUUGGCCAAGUUAUUUUGUGCCCAGAACCCCAGAAAUGCCUCUUGGCUUUAUUGGACUUCACUUAUAACUCCUGGGAUGAGCGAUUCAAACCAGAAAUAUUUUUGCCCCUCAAGUGGACUGAACGGAGGCUCCCCCAUAAGUCCUAACACUUGGAACCCGUGAAUAUCACCUUACUUGAGAAAAAGGUCCCUGAAGGUGUAAUUAAUAAGUUAAGAAUCUCAAGAUAAGACCAACCUGGAUCAUCUCGGUAGUUCCUGAAUCUACUGUGUGUGUGUGCUAAGUCACUCCCACCAAUACUGGAGUGGGUAGCCUAUCCCUUCUCCAGCGGAUCUUCCCGAUCCAGGAAUCAAACCGGGUCUCCUGCAUUGCAGGUGGAUUCUUUACCAACUGAGCUAUCAGGGAAGCCCUGUGAGAAAAAUACAUGUCUGUUGGUUUAAGUCAGCAGUUUGUGGUAAUCUGUUAUAGCAAUCCUGGGAAACUAAUCCAUUUCUUUCUUCUCCCCCAACUCAACUCUGGGCUGUCCUCUUGACAGAGAGCCGACCGGAAAUGCAGCACACAAAGGAUGCCUCUGACAUGAGCUAAAUCCUGAGGACUGAGAAAGUCCAUGGGAAUGAAUAGAAAUGAACUUGCAGGCUUCCGGAAGUGAAGAGCAGAUGUUAGUGGUCGUGGAUAAUAAAUGUGUACUCGUUGAGUGAUCUUGCCUUUCUCCAGAGGUGACUGCAGGGGCUGUUUCCUUCAGAUACCUUUUCAAGGUCACCGAGUUUUGUUUUGGAAUUCAGGCAUGGUCUUUGGUUUGUGUGUUUGCUUCUGAAGCUUCAGUGGACAUGGGGAUGGGGAGAUGAUUGUCAUAAGCUUCCAGGAUGCACUUAAGAAGAACACAGUAGUCAAAAAAUUAUUCUUUAUUAAAUGGUGUGGAAAUGGGGGAAAUAGUCCUUGCCAAAAAAUGGCAAAAUAAUAGCAAAAUGAAGAAACAGACAAAGGAUUAAUCUCAAAAAUAUACAAGCAACUCCUGAAGCUCAAUUCCAGAAAAAUAAAUGACUCAAUCAAAAAAUGGGCCAAAGAACUAAACAGACAUUUCUCCAAAGAAGACAUACAGAUGGCUAACAAACACAUGAAAAGAUGCUCAACAUCACUCAUUAUUAGAGAAAUGCAAAUCAAAACCACAAUGAGGUACCAUUACACGCCAGUCAGGAUGGCUGCUAUCCAAAAGUCUACAAGCAAUAAAUGCUGGAGAGGGUGUGGAGAAAAGGGAACCCUCUUACACUGUUGGUGGGAAUGCAAACUAGUACAGCCGCUAUGGAAAACAGUGUGGAGAUUUCUUAAAAAACUGGAAAUAGAACUGCCAUAUGACCCAGCAAUCCCACUUCUGGGCAUACACACUGAGGAAACCAGACCUGAAAGAGACACGUGCACCCCAAUGUUCAUCGCAGCACUGUUUAUAAUAGCCAGGACAUGGAAGCAACCUAGAUGCCCAGCAGCAGAUGAAUGGAUAAGGAAGCUGUGGUACAUAUACACCAUGGAAUAUUACUCAGCCGUCAAAAAGAAUUCAUUUGAAUCAGUUCUAAUGAGAUGGAUGAAACUGGAGCCCAUUAUACAGAGUGAAGUAAGCCAGAAAGAUAAAGAACAUUACAUAUAUAUGGAAUUUGGAAAGAUGGUAAUGAUAACCCUAUAUGCAAAACAGAAAAAGAGACACAGAAGUACAGAACAGACUUUUGAACUCUGU